rnacentral:lncRNA from 1 species
UCAUCAUUGUUUUUGUCAUCAUGUCUUACUUGAUUCCCUAAGUAGUAUUCUCAACCAGAAAAAUAUUUUUCACAAUAAUCCUCUCAACUGAUUGAUGGAGUGUUCUCUACUAUUUUGGGGAGUAUAAAGGUAUGCUGAAACCAAAAAGUUCGAGAACCACUGAUACCAUUAUUAUAAAUAUAACCUAUGUGGUUUUAUUAUGUAACUUGGGCCACUGACUUCUUAGGGAGGGGCAAGGGGAAGAAGUUUAUUACACAGUAAGAAUAACAGUUUAUUACAUAGCAAUAGUAACUGAAACCGAUUUUGUUACCAAGGGGGGUGUUCACCCUCAACCAAAGGGGAUUUAAAUGCUCUAGCCUUAAGCCCUUCAGGCCAAUUCUGAGAGGCAAACUGUAAACUUCUCGGAGUUCUUGGGAUACUGAAUCUUGCAGCAAAGGAUGAAGUGUCCUGACAUUGGCUUUUCCUUCCUUUCUGCCUUACUCUUCAUAGCCUCUCACUUUGCUGUCUGCAAUCACCUGCCAAAAAACUCCCUGCACCUACACUCCUGUCUAGGGGUUUGUA